AUGAGAGAGCUUUGUAGGAGAAAAUAAUAAAAUGCUUAAAAGUGAGAUAAGGUGGAUUAACAGGUUGUUUUCUAUUUCUUGUUUUCCAAGGUUUAUGAAAUAUGUUUAUGUUACCGUUUUCCUUGGAGGCAGGACAGUGUUAAGAACCAGGCCACGGUGUCAGACAGACCAAAUUUGAAUCCCAGCAUUGCCACUCACAAGCAGUGUGAUUGCAGAGAGUUUCCUUCUCUGUAAAAUUGGAAUAAUAACUGGAUACAUUUCAUAAGGUGGAUGUGAAGUUUUAAGAUAAUGGAUGGCCAACCACAGUGCUGACCUACCAGUGCAGGCACAUGUGAUGGGAUCAAGGAAGGUUCUGCGAGAUGCUGAAAUGAGACACAGAAUGCAGUUGGUCCAUAUUCAGGACUAAACCAAAUUCAUGCAAAGUAGCUGGACAACCAUAGACACCUUCCUUCCCCUAAAGGCCACUCUUGGCAACAAAGAAGAGGACAGAAGGGAUCAGACCACUUCCAAAAUAAAAAGAGGUGAAUGAACAAAACAGGAGCCUCACAUCUUAAACCCAUAGAACAAGAACACUGGGCCAGUGGAUGUGCAGACCCUUGGCACCUCACCAACCGGAAAAAGGAAGCGACUCCCUGGGGGAAGAGAGGCCGCAGGGCUCUGUGACAGAAACCCCUCCUGGAAACAGGAGGGCAGAGGAAGAACUUCAAUCAGACUCUGCUGCCUUAGAUGGUCGGUGAAAGAGUUCAAUGGGAUCAACAAAACGCAACACCAAUCUGCAAGCCAGUGAAGGUUCGUGUUUAUUUUUUUUCCUUCUUUUUUCUCUAUCCUUCAACCCACUUUAGAAAAUGAAAAAGGCCAAGUUCCUUGGAGUUCCCCUGAGACAUUCCCUGGGGCAGCACUGCCUACCUCAGUCUGAGGCCAUGGCAAGUUGGACGACCACACACUCCGGGUGGCCGGGGACAUGCUGGGCUAACUGCUGCUGUCCCUGUGUCCUGUCCAGGUCAGCAUGGCCUGGAUAGGAGACUCCCAUAACUUACCCAGCCACCCUCUUUCCAGCAGAAGAUUUUAAGCAGGCAAACAUAGCAAAUUCUCUUCUCUCUGUUUCCAAAUCACUACUGUUCCUUGCCUCUUCUCGCAAUCCUUCUCAGCCUCCUUUGCUGGAUCCUCUUAAAUAAAGGCCAACAUUUCCCAGGUCUGACUCCUUUCUCUUUUCUUCUUUCCUUCUGUGUGUCAACUUUUCCAACCAUGAAUAUGCCAACCUCCAAACCGCCCUUUCCUUCCCUGACUUUUCAACUUCCAACUUCCAUCUCCAGCUGCUGAGAAAAAGCUCCAAAGCAUGUCCCAAAGCUAAACUUGCACCAAAAUACGGUCAUGGUCACUGUUUGGUGAUUUGCUGCCAGUCUGAUCCACUAUAGCUUUCUGAAUCCCA